GGAUAUCCAUCGCUGGAGCUUCCCGGUAGUAUUUGCAAUAAACAUUCCGAGCAGUCGAUUUGAACGUUUUCUAUCUCUUAAAUGUUCCGGUCGAAGCUGAUUCGUUCACAACUGGUGCUUUGUCUCCGUUUUUCCCGGUAGCAUCCGAUCUAUGAUGACUGUUUUUAGGUAAAGCGUUCCGUGGAUAGAUGAUGACUGUCGCCAUAUUGGAGCUUUACGAAUGCGACGAGUUCGUUCAAAUCCCUCUUCCUGAAAAUUAGAAGAAAAAAAACGGCGAUGAAUAGGUUUAGUAGUGUCAAUCAGUGUUGUAAAACUUCGUUCAAUUCAAUUGAAAUCGAAUGUGUGCACACAAUAACGAUCACUCUACUGCAGCAAACUUCACAUUCUAGCAUACACCCUUCGCAGUCUCACCGAAUGGGCUAGGGAUUCAUUCGUGUCUCUUUCUGCCGAAGCUCAGUUUAAUCACCGUCAUUUUAUGAAAAAGCGUCCUUCAAGUGAGGUUCAUGUAAACAUUCGAAUUGGUUCAAGAUAAUGGAUGAAAGAAACACAUCACAAUACAUUUCAAACCGUCGAAAUUAUCGAUUUUAACUUACUGGUGAUAAUUGAAAACUCAAAUGAGUUCCGCCACACUCAAUUUAUCGUUAUGGUGUGUUAUCGAAUUGAUGUUUAUGUCUAUUCAUUCGCACUUACUCACUACCCACAGUGAAGACAUGGAAGACAAUGAAUACUACAAACUGAGCAAGCAAAACUUCAAGUAACUAGGUACGGUUAUUUGAUUGACGAUGAA